rnacentral:rRNA from 1 species
GGAUGAACGCUGGCGGCGUGCUUAAUACAUGCAAGUCGAACGAAGAACUUUUGUAGCAAUACGAAGGUUUCUUAGUGGCGAACGGGUGCGUAACGCGUUGGUGACCUGCCCAGAAGUGUGGGAUAACAGUUCGAAAGGACUGCUAAUACCGCAUGUGGUCAUCGGGUUUAGAAACCGAUGAUUAAAGCAGUAAUGCGCUUCUGGAGGGACCUGCGUCCCAUCAGCUAGUUGGUGAGGUAACGGCCCACCAAGGCUACGACGGGUAGGGGACCUGAGAGGGUGGUCCCCCACACUGGCACUGAAACACGGGCCAGACACCUACGGGUGGCAGCAGUAGGGAAUAUUGGUCAAUGGGCGAAAGCCUGAACCAGCAACGCCGCGUGCACGAUGAAGGUCUUCGGAUCGUAAAGUGCUUUUCUGAGAGGUGAGAAAGGACAGUAUCUCAGGAAUAAGUCUCGGCUAACUACGUGCCAGCAGCCGCGGUAAAACGUAGGAGGCAAGCGUUAUCCGGAUUUACUGGGCGUAAAGCGCGUGCAGGUGGUUCGGUAAGUUGGAUGUGAAAGCUCCUGGCUCAACUGGGAGAGGUCGUUCAAUACUACCGGACUUGAGAGCAGUAGAGGGAUGUGGAAUUCCCGGUGUAGUGGUGAAAUGCGUAGAUAUCGGGAGGAACACCAGUGGCGAAAGCGGCAUCCUGGACUGUUUCUGACACUCAGACGCGAAAGCUAGGGUAGCAAACGGGAUUAGAGACCCCGGUAGUCCUAGCUGUAAACGAUGUGAACUUGGCGUCGGCGGGUUCAAAGCCGUCGGUGCCGAAGCUAACGCGGUAAGUUCACCGCCUGGGGACUACGGCCGCAAGGUUAAAACUCAAAGGAAUUGACGG